rnacentral:lncRNA from 1 species
GCUCUGGCCAGGAUUUUGAUGGUGGACUUUGCUUUCUCUAGCAGAAAGAUGAAGGGAGCCUUUUGUGUAAUAUCUCAGUAACAUUUCUCCAAAUAGUAAAGGAAGCAGGGAUUGGUUUUUAUGUAACCAGCUGCCUCUCCAGGGCCUAGAAGCCACAUGUGGUCAGUAGCUGAUGCGCUCCGCCACCAGGAGGGGUUGCCACAGAGUAGAGGCUAUGUCGAGCAUAACUUCCUACCACCUGUCUUUGAGGCUGCCUGUCUGGGGUGCCCGGUGGUAAGUGAGCUCAUGUCCCCUAGGUACAAUGCCAGAGAAUUCUACGAGCGCCUGCCUGAGCUGAGGCAGGCUGUGGAUCAGAUCAGCAGUGGCUUCUUUUCUCCCAAAGAUCCAGACUGCUUCAAGG